rnacentral:rRNA from 1 species
CAGCCGCCGCGGUAAUACGGAGGGUGCAAGCGUUAAUCGGAAUUACUGGGCGUAAAGCGCACGCAGGCGGUCUGACAAGUCAGAUGUGAAAUCCCCGGGCUUAACCUGGGAACUGCAUUUGAAACUGUCAGGCUGGAGUCUUGUAGAGGGGGGUAGAAUUCCAGGUGUAGCGGUGAAAUGCGUAGAGAUCUGGAGGAAUACCGGUGGCGAAGGCGGCCCCCUGGACAAAGACUGACGCUCAGGUGCGAAAGCGUGGGGAGCAAACAGGAUUAGAUACCCGCGUAGUCCCUGUCUCUUAUAU